rnacentral:rRNA from 1 species
AGCGAACGCUGGCGGCAGGCCUAACACAUGCAAGUCGAACGAAGUCUUCGGACUUAGUGGCGGACGGGUGAGUAACACGUGGGAACGUGCCUUUAGGUUCGGAAUAACUCAGGGAAACUUGUGCUAAUACCGAAUGUGCCCUUCGGGGGAAAGAUUUGUCGCCUUUAGAGCGGCCCGCGUCUGAUUAGCUAGUUGGUGAGGUAAAGGCUCACCAAGGCGACGAUCAGUAGCUGGUCUGAGAGGAUGAUCAGCCACAUUGGGACUGAGACACGGCCCAAACUCCUACGGGAGGCAGCAGUGGGGAAUCUUGCGCAAUGGGCGAAAGCCUGACGCAGCCAUGCCGCGUGAAUGAUGAAGGUCUUAGGAUUGUAAAAUUCUUUCACCGGGGACGAUAAUGACGGUACCCGGAGAAGAAGCCCCGGCUAACUUCGUGCCAGCAGCCGCCGUAA